UGCUAACCGUUUCUGAGGAUCUAAAAGUAUUCUUCGAAUUAAGAUCCUAGCUCUUUUUGUAAAAUGUUUGAAUUUCAUGUUAUGCUAGCAACAUGUUAGUUACAAGGGGGGAGGUUAUACGUGGCAACUGCUCUCAGAAAACAAACGAUGUGUGUUGACGGUAGAGAUCGAAUCUGAAGUAAAGCAUGUUCGUAGCUGAGUUUAUAUCUGUGAUUUAGCUUUUUAUACAUAAAGUGGACUAAAUCAUAAAGCUUGUUCCGUAGUUUAUAGUUAACUUUUGUAAGUCUUAAUGUGCUUCAAAUUAAGAGCUUAUUUAUUUACCUAAAUUGCACCAGGUAGAGUUAAGUAUGGCCAGUGUGCAAUCGUGAGUGAUCACCUGAUUCACCAACUGAAUGAUACCAUCAUGCAGGCAUGUAUAUUCAUACAAUUGAUAUGUGCAUGCAUGCUUAUAAUUGUUGUACUUCUGUCACCUUGUACGCAAUGUAUGUACCGUGGCUACUGGUUUAGGCAAACUAUAGGUCACAGUGACUGGACAUUGUGCACUAGCACUUGUAGUGAUUUGUACACGCAUGUCGGACCUCCUCUGGUUUUAGUUUCAUGUACUGCUAGAGGUUAACGCCCACUAUCUAUUGCACUCUGAAGCGAAACGUGGAUGGUUUCAAGAGGAACGUUAGGAGCCAUUGUCGCACGUGAUCCUGUUUCCAAUCCCUCUUACUGUUCUAUCUACGUCCAACUCACAUGUACCACGACAAUUAUUAGAGUCGUUAUCGCCCGUAUAGAGUAUAUACUUUUGUGUAGUGUUAGUUCUGUAUCAGUGCGUGCUACAAAGACCCGUGACACAUUCCACCCCUACCUUGGCUAUAGCAAUGUGUUCUAUCGUCUUACCAUAUUUGAAUAUCUUGAUGUGUCUUCCAAAAUUUAGCGACUUGCCAUCUACGUACAUUCGACGGCUUGCAUUGGGCCAUAGCACUUUGCAAAAAUAAUUAUACUGCACAUGUAUGUUGAGAUUGCCCCAUAGAAUUAGAUCGGGGAGUUUUACUUUUUAUUAUUGAUGACUUCCCUUAACUGUUUGCCUGCAUGCAAAAACUGUGCCCACACAAACUGAGCAAAAGUGCCUCAGCUAGUGUUAGUGAUACAUCUGGUUGGCAAAGGUUAUACUGCACAUGUAUGUUGAGAUUGCACCAUAGAACUAGAUCAGGGGGAGUUUUACUUUUUAUUAUUGUUCACCCACUUGUGGUCUAUAGAUUUACUUUUUAUUAUUGAUGACUUCCCUUAACUGUUUGCCUGCAUGCAAAAACUGUGCCCACACAAACUGAGCAAAAGUGCCUCAGUGUUAGUGAUACAUCUGGUUGGCAAAGGUUAUACUGCACAUGUAUGUUGAGAUUGCACCAUAGAACUAGAUCAGGGGGACUUUUACUUUUUAUUAUUGUUCACCCACUUGUGGUCUAUAGAUUAGAUUCACUUAUAAUUAGAUGCAUAAAGCCUUAGCUAUAAAAGAGCUUAUCUCAAAGGAAAAAAUAUAUUUCAGGCAUCUGAGCACAACUCAUUGACAAGUUGGCCAACCGAAGCAAGCAAUAAGCCAACUUGUAUGCUUUGAAGCCUCAAGGACCUCGUCUAAUAUAAACCUUCCUUCUCCCGUUUCACAAACCAGACCACUGAUCAUGUACUCAAUAGUCCUUUUCCUGUUCGCUGUAUGCAGCCCAUGUUGGGCUGAAAACUGCAUUGGCAUCUUCCAUGAUCAUCGGCCGUCCCUAAAGGAGUGUGCCAAACGAAGUGGUACUGUGGACAAGAACGGUCGCUAUUACUUCAAAGACCACAUUGCUGCUGGGUUGUCACGUGGCAAUCAGUGUUUGGAGCCAGUGGAAGAAAACUCUGUGAGGUGCUACAAGUGGGUGCUUGGAGAUCUUUGCUACCCUAUUCCCUCUACUCGACUGUUGAUCACGAGUAAAAAAAGAGUCUCUCAAAAUCAAAAGCUCGUCACCAGUAUCUCAAAGUCAGUCACUUUCCGUUCACCUGACAAAAACUUUGACUCCCAACGAAAGGGACGUUAUUUCAAUAGCAUGUUCUGCUUAUACAACAUUAGCGUACCGAAUUGUAUGAACAAUUCUGUGAUACUUCAAUCCACAUCUGGUGAUCACAGCUUGUUUGACGACGGGAAAGAUUAUCUGUAUUUUGACUUUGGUCAGGUGACCUUUAAAGUGACUGGUGACAGUGUCGGUUCCCUCAGCGAGAAUGUUCCAACCUCUUCAUUCUAUGCGGUUCUGUGGACAGACGCCACCCCAAAAACAGAUUGGGGGAAGUUUGAAAUCGAGGCAGCGUGUAACUGAGUUGUUACAAUUUAUUAUGCUUCUAACGUUUGAAUUAUACAUGUAGUUGAACUGUCAUUAUAAGCUUCGUGUAACGUGUAACUAUGUUUUUCGUUAAAUUUAAUGUCUGUUAUCGCUACUGUAUUGGCAACGAUGUGCCGAUAUAUCCACACUGCCCAUGUCUUUUUGCAUGAGUCUCUUGCGUUGUAAGUGUGUAAUGCAUGCGAUAUGCAUGGAACUUCUCCCACUUUUCAAUGUUUCCACUUGUAAUGUUGCAUGGUUUCUCCUACGAUGCCUGCUUACAAUAAGUGUAUGAAUGAGUUGACUGUAUCAAGAGCGACUCUCUUUGACGAGACACAUACACAUCAAAUUCGUGUUUGAUGUGCACGAAUCUUAAAGUUUCACAGUUUCUGAACCUGAGAGCCAGGGAGAUAUACUCCAUUGCAAUCCUGAACACUGUAGCAUGAGAUAAAAGCUGGGAAUAUCAGAAUGAGUGCCGAUGAUUGCAUCAAAUUUUGUUUUUGAGUACAGUAUACUUUUUUAUCUGCAUGCAUUGUGGCUUGCGUUUGGAGAAUUAAUACCGUAGAUUUGGGCUCAUUGUUCCUUAUCUUUCACCUAAUGCUGGGACUUUAAUAAUUUAAGGUAUCGUUAUUUUAGUGGGUGCACCUAAAAGGUUCCCCAGAUACAAUGAUUCCAUUCUAUAUUAGGUUUGUAGUACUUUUCUACUGUCCAUCAAUAGCCAUCCCAUGCACAAUCUCCAUUGUGGUAACGCAUUUGAAGUUUGUGGUGUAGUUCAAUAGGGUACACUUAAUUUUACCAGUCACAAUGUUGACAUUGUUAACCCGAGGCGCGUGGGCGGCCACGGGUUAUAGUAGUUGUUUGGUUUGUUUGUUUGUGACAGGUGAAUCUACUCACCUGGAUGCCACAGCACUGCGUUUACAGCAUGGAUAGCCUUCAUACAACAAGUUAUUAAUUUUAAUAGUGGCAGAAUUUCAUGUUAAACCUUCGUUGUCAAAUAAAAACGAGCAAAAGCUAAGAAGCUUGUGACUGGGUCUGCUUAUCUGGAUGCUCUAGCACUGCGUUUACAGCAUGGGUAGCCUCCACACAACAAGUCAGUACUUAAGUAGAAAGCUGUAUAUACCAGGAACAAUGGAACAGGGUCACUAAAGUAGAAAGCUUGCUUUAACUGACUGGGAUCCAUGCAGGACCUGGAGCCAUACUUCUAUGAGACUCCAGGCUUCUUUGCUGUGAUCCUAAUCCACAGUGCAUAUAUCUAUAGUACUACUACCUGUUCUCAAAUGUUUUAGCAUGCCUCCAGUCUGGUUUAGUUUUAUUGCUCCUGAGUUGCUGUGCAAGUCAUGCAUGAUGAUGAUAACAACAGCACUGCAUAUCAGUCUUCUGGUUUCUUUAUAAUCAUGUCACCAGCUGAGGGUUUGCACUUUAGUGCUCUAGUUUAUUAGGGUGUUCACCAGUUAGAGACACUGGUUGAGGUGCUGAGAUGAGGCCCACUUAGUCAGGGGACUAUGCUAUCUGUGUGGGUUGUUAUUAUUGUAAUACCCUAUACACUGAGAGCACAAACACUAUCAGCUGUACGUUGCAACUUCCUUUGAAUGUAGGAAAUGAGGUUCCUGUGGAAAUCCUGCACCCCUUGAUGGCUUGUUAGUGGUCCCUUGAACAUAUAGAAAGGAACUUGUCAUUUAAUAAUUAUUGGCUAAGCUCCUAUAGACAGACUGACCGAUGAAAUUAGGGGAUUGGUCGAGAUGCUGAGAUGAGCUGAGGCUGAUUCUCACGAUCUCCCACUCAGUCAGGGGACUAUAUGCCAUGUUUGUGGGUUUUUCUUUAAUACCCUAUACUGAGCACUAACAGCAGGUUGCAACUUCCUUUGAAUGUAGGAAAUGAGGUUCCUGUGAGAAUCUUGCGCCCCCUGAUCUUGUUAGUGGUACCUUUAACAUAUAGUUAUAAUUGGCUAAGCUCUUAUAAUUAACAGGCUGACCGACUGAUGAAUUUUGAUGUCGGUGUCCUCUGCUAUAAACAUUUUUUGCAUGUUAAGCACAAACAGUAAAUGCAUGUGAAUUGUGACAUGAGUUAAUUUCCUCUUACCAGCUAUCAGCUUGAAUAGGAACUGUAUCUCCUCCGUGACCUUGGUGCUACUGACUUUGAAUGCAAAAUUAACGGAAUGAAUUCUCAUUAACUAAAAAUAAACUCAUUGAAGUACUGCAUGCAAAAUUAUUGGCUUGCGCUUGUAUCAUCCAUUUUGCAUUGUUUUCCUUAUUAAUGGGCUCAUCGUUAUUAUACCUGUUCCCUUGUCUUUCACCUAUUAAAAUGCUGGGGCUCAAUACACAGCAUUUUUUAUGUAGUGGGUGAGCCUAAAUUGUUCCGAGGAAGGUUCCCCAGGUACAAUGAUUCCUUUCUGUAUUAGGUUUGUAGUACUUUUCUGUGUCCCAUCAGGAGUGCAUGAAUAUUCGUGCACUCCUAGUCCUAUCAAUAGGUUUUUACCAUCCACCCACAAUCUACAUUCAAAGGUUUCUAUUGUGAUAGUUUUCCCCUGUUUGCAUUUCGUGGUGUACGUAGUUCAAUGCGGUACACUUCAUUUUACCGGUCACAAUGUUGUAGGGUUUUUUCUUUAGAGAGACUGGUUGAGGUGCUGAGAUGAGCCAAGGCUGAGGCUGAUUCUCACGAUCUCCCACUCAGUCAGGGGACUAUGCUAUCUGUGUGGGUUGUUAAUACCCUAAUACUGAGAGCACUAACACUAUCAGUUGUUGUCACUUCCUUUUAAUGGAGAAUCUUGCACCCCUGAUGUGUCUUGUUAGUGGUCCCCAACAUAUAGAAAGCAACUUGUCAUAAUUAUUAAUAUUGCCUAAGCUCUUACAUAAUACAUUAUAAUUUUAAUGAGGUCCUCGGUUAUAAAAAGUAUUUGCAUGUUAAUGCCAAACAGUAAAUGUGAAUUGGAUGUGAGUUGAUUCCUCUUACCAGCCAGCUUGAAUAGGAACCGCGUCACCUAUAAAUAUCUCCUCCGUGACCUUACUUUUGGAAUGCAGAAUUAGCGGAAUGAAUUCUCGUGAAUAAAAAUAAACUGAUUGAAGUACUGCAUACAAAAUUACUGGCUUGCGCUUGUAUGUAUCCAUUUUGCAUUAUAUUAUCCACUUAUUCAUCGUUAAUACGUGUUCCCUUGUCUUUCACCUAUUAAAAUGCUGGGACUUUAUGCUAAUUCAAUAUCAGUCUCAUUUAUAGUGGGUGAACCUAUAUUAAGAGAAGGUUAAUUCCCCAGAUACAAUGAUUCCUUUGGUUUGUAUAUAGUACUUUUCUACUGUCCCAUCAAGAGGUUUUUACCAUCCACCCACGUGCAAUUUACAUUCAAUUGUGAUAAUGUUCUCCCCUAUUUGCAUUUCGUGGUAUACGUAGUUCAAUGCGGUACAUUUAAUUUUACCGAUUUUUUCUUUAGGGAGUGCUGAGAUAAGCCAAGUCAGGGGACUACCAUAAUUUUAUGUCUUCUAAUUUAUGGGACAAUUUUCUGGGCAAUUUUCGAUGUUAUAAUACAACGGACACUCUGGUGUUUUAAUUUUAAAUAUCUAGACAAUAUCUUGAAAAGUUGAGAUACAUUCCAACCAACGUAGCUUUAUUAGCCAGCAAGAGUGCUGCAAGCUAGAUAGUUUUGAGUUUUAGAUAGCUAGUGCAACUAUUCAGUCGCACACUGUUCUAUUAAACUUAGCUAGCUCAUGCAGCUGCAUGCUUGUUCCAGACACUUCGCGUGCUCUAUAAAGAUAUUUUCCAAUUAUUUUUCCUUAUUUUUUGCUGUCCGAUAAAUUAGAACAUAAAUUAUACGGUAUAUGCUUUGUGGGUUGUAACACUCUCUACUGGAGAGCACUGUAAUAUGGAAGGACAUAAUUUUUAUUAGAGCCAAAAUUCUCAGCUUUUGUCCUAGUAAAUGUCCCGGCAAACAUCUGUGGGUGAGGUCGACCAAUUCUCUAGGGUGUGGUCGUCACAGCCCACUGCAUCCGCUCAAGUUUUUGCCCCAGCACUUGCCUCAGUACCAGAAUAAACGCAGUGCAUAAAGUGUAUUGCGUGCAUAAAGAUUGCAACGAGUUAAAGCGCAUAGGCAAUGAAAGUGAAUGCCUCGUGCCAUAAACCAGAGCCUUGUGGAGGCUAUUAAAGAGAUACAAAGAACAUAAUUAUAAGCUAGGCUAAGAAGAUACAAAGAACCUAGCCUUGUGAGAAGAAGAUACAAGCUAUGUAAGGCUAUAACUGUUUGUGGUUAUUUUGUCCCAAGAGGAGAGUUGUAGUGAGGUACCCACUUCCCUGUGAUUCUUGCCAAAUUGCCAUGCAGCAAAAAUGUUCAUCAUGAUAAUUAUAUGUGUAUAAAAGCUAUAGUAGCUUUAUGUUAUUUAUGUAGCUUUGGCACCUCUACCAAGGCAUCAGCACCCACGGUGCUUUCAUUGAGAUUGGGUUUAAAGGAGGAGUAAAAAACAGCACUUGUGAAACAGGUUUAUAUAAUAGGUGGUGCUAUUAAAUUAAUUGUUAUGGAGGAAUAGUCCAGUGAGUUCACGAUUGAAGUGUUUCCUGUCGGUUGGUGAUGGAUAAUUCUUGGUGUUCCUUUCAUAGUCCUUACUCAAGACCUGCUACACUAAUCUAUCCAUUAGAGACUGGGUCGACCCCGCCCACAAGAAAAAGGCGUUGCCGGGACAAACACGGGAACAAAACAUGGGAAUGUUGAUUCUAAUACCCUUCCACACUAUAACACUAUCAGCUGUCGGUACCAUGACUUCAUUGAAGUGCUGCUUUUCGAAUGCAGAAUUAACGAAAGGAAUUCUCAUGAACUGACAAAUACUCCUUAGAGCAUGCAUAACUUGUAUGUACAUUAUGUUUCCCCAUUGUUACCUGUUCCCUUAUUUUUCUGGACCUUCAUGCACAGCAGAUCAUUAUAAUUCAAUAUCAGUUGACUCGUAUUAAAGGAAAAAAGGGCAGACUCGUCAAACUGUUACCCACGGUUGCUCAUUAGCUGAGAAGAUAAAGUUAACUCACAAUUCACAUUUACUGUUAGUGGCUUAACGUGCACAGAAUUUUUAUAGCCCGGGACACUUAUAUCAAAAUUCAUCAGUCAGUCUGUCUAAGAGCUUGGAUAUGACAAGUUGCUUUCUAUAUUAAGGGCCACAACAAGACAUCAGAUUCUCACAGGAACCCUAUUUCCUACAUUCAAAGGAAGUGGCAACAGCUGAUAGUGUUAGUGCUUUCAGUAUAGGGUACGUAUUAGAAUAACAACCCACAAAGAUGGCUUAUAGUCCCCUGACUGAGUGGGAGACCGUGAGAAUCAGCCUUCUCAACAGUCUAUAAUAAACGAUGUCAACAUUGUCUGGCAAAGCCGCAUUGAACUACACCAUGAACUACACCACGAAUCCCCAGACUGAGUGGGAGAUCGUUAGAAUCAGCUUUCUCAACAAUCUAAUAAACGAUGUCAACAUUGUGACUGGCAAAGCCGCAUUGAACUACACCACGAAAAUUCAAAUGACUAAUUUACCUUUCAGUAUAGAUUUUUGGUGGAUGGUAGAAACCUACUAUAUUCUAUUUUUAUACUGUACCCUGCCUCUGAUAUAGAUUAUAUACAUAGGGUAGAAUGAGUUGAUGAUGCCCUAUAGCUCUUCUCUUCAUUGGUCUUAUUUAGUGUGUGAACCUAAUUUGCCAAGUAAGGUUCCCCAUUCCUUUCUGUAUUAGGCUUGUAGUACUUUUCUACCGUCCAUAAUAGGUUUUUACCAUCCACCCACAAUCAAUAUUCAAAGGUUUCUGAUGAGGCUCUACCCACAUUGGAAUUUUGUGGUGUAGUUCAAUAGGGCACACUUAAUUAAUUUUUACCAGUCACAAUGAUGACUUUUACGGACACUGGUUGAGGUGCUGAGGCUGCGCACUUCUUCCCACAUUGGAAUUUUGUGGUGUAUAGUUCAUAAGGCACACUUAAUUAAUUUUUACCAGUCACAAUGAUGACUUUUACGGACACUGGUUGAGGUGCUGAGGCUGAGCACUCAGUCGGGGGACCAUGCAUGUCAUAUUUGAGGGUUAUUAUCUACUGAGAGCACGUACUACAUGUAACCAUAGAUAUAAGAAGGGAGAGGGAUGGGAAACGGAGCACGUGCGCACAAUCACUUCUGUGUAAUGCCAAAAGUUGACCCGUGUUUCGCCUCUAGACACCCCGCCAACCCAGCGGGAAAUGUUAUUACUAUCAUUCACAGCUCCCCACUGGGACUCUUAGUACUGUGCAAUCAUAUAGAAGUGUUGUGUAUAUCACCAAGAGCUUGAAAGCUUUCAAAGGCAGUUUUUUUAGCGUUGUAUUAUCGUUUCGGCUCUAUCCUAGUGGCUUCGUGUACUUUCUACAAGGAGAGGCUGUGACUACAGCCCAAAAUAUUAAUGAUCAAUUCCCUCUUUCAGUAAGCUGGUUUUGAAAAGCAGACUUUUGUGUAUACCCAUUUAGAAAGUUAUAUCAAUGAUUGAAUGUCGGUAAAUGUCUAAUUCAUUUGGUUCAUUGUAUCGGCACAGUAAUUUAUGACAGAACUUUGCUACAUUUCUAUAAUUCUCUAUCAUGUCUGUGACUGUACUGGAAUACUCAACGGUACAGACAGAGCUCCUCUCAAGAAUUUGCCUGUCCAAGCUGCUUUUUACUGCUUGGAGGGGUCUCACUAACUAUUGCUGCUACCUUGUUGUGACUGUUCCACUAGCCAUUGCUAAUACAUGGAGCUCAGUAGCUAGUUUAUAGCCUAGUACUAGCUAAAAGCAUGGGCUGGAGGAAAUAAAGAAGAAAACAUUGACCAAAACGCGGAUCGUCAAUGCUAUUUACGUAGCGUUUCCCAUCCCUCUCCCUUCUUGUAUCUAUAAUGUAACACUAUCAGCUGUUGCAGUUUUGUGAGUGCAUUUAAAUUAAUUGUGAUUGCUUCCCCAAGCAAAUCAUUUGUUUGCAGUACGUUAUGCCUGCUUAACUCUUGUGUAGUAUUCGUAAGUUUCCACUACCAUAAUUCAUAUUCAAAGGUUUCCAUUGUGGUAACUAUUUUAGUUUGUUGUGGUAUCUGAUACACCCCUAUAAACGCCUAAAAGAAAUUUCUCUAUUUCACCAAUGUGGAUAUAUUUAGGGUUACCUUAUAGGGCCACUGGUUUAGGUGUUUACAGUGGAUCCUCACAAUAUCCCACUCAGUCAAGGGAUUGUACCAUAUCCAUAUCUUUGUGGUUUUUAUGCAGCUCCCCACUAAAAAUACAAACAUUAGGUGUUUACAGUGGAUCCUCACAAUCUCCCACUCAGUCAAGGGAUUAUACCAUGCAUAUCCAUAUCUUUGUGGUUUUUAUGCAGUUCCCCACUAAAAAGUACAAACACUUAAUAUAUUAGCUGUGGCAUGAACCUUUUAAGUGAUGGGUUAUUCAGGGAGAUUUGAUAUCAUCCCUAAUUUAUGUACGUAUGAAGUUAAGCAACACCCUGUAACUUGGCCGUAUUAUAGGUAUAUAGAAUCAACUGAUAUCACAAUUAUUCAGUGUUUCUGCACAUAAAGACAAUACAGUAAACGGAAAUUGUAAAUGAGGUCAGUUUACGGAAUGGUGUCAUCUAUCACCAGCUUCUGCAUAGCUUUUCCGAGGCAAAUUUUGGUCCUAGUAAGUAUGGGGCCGCUCAAAUAAUGAUACACUAAGUGGUCUCUGUCAUAAUAUUGGCUAUCGUAAUAAUGGCUAAUGCUUUAAUUGCGAUAAGCCUGAGCGACGCCCUAUAUAGGAGCAAUACUGCAGGAGAUGUAGUGUUUGUUUGGUUGGAUACUUUUUAUUAUGACGAUUGGGAAGCUGCGUGCUCUGUAUGUGCUAGCCCAUUAACUAAUUAAACCAUAGAUAUAGCUGAGAGGGAUUGGGAGCAGAAGUCAAAACCUCUACUUUUAUACAGAGGGUGCGUACAUAGCGUUUUCUUUUACACUCCUGAGAUGCUUCUGUACCUAUAAUAUAUAAUUAUGUAGCUAAGACUGCCUAACUAAGUAGUGAGACUGGGUCACAUAAAAUUAUGACUUUAAAUAUGGAAAAUAACUGCUGCAAGUUCAGCAGCAGGAUUGUUGUACUGACAGUAAGACAGAAUCGUUUGUCUCCUAGCUAGCAUUACUUUUUCACGUUGUAGUAUAGGCCUCAAGUAAAACCGGGGUGCUGACAAUUCUUCGAUGAGGCUGAAUCUAUGAUAGGUAUUGUACAACUUUGGCAAUAUUAUAAUUAUUUAUUCUUUUAGUCUUCUUUGACAGAUGAUAUACCACUAACUUUGCUCAGGCUUGCCCAACAGUUAUAAGUUCUGUUAACAAAUUUAUGGUGAAGUGAUGCACUGAACUUGUAGUGAUUCAUACUACAUAAUUAUGCAUGUCGAUCUCCUCAGGUUUCCAAUCACUUCACAUUGUGUCUGAUAAUACUAUAUUCACACUUGGAUAUUGUGUACUUCACUUGCAUUACCAUGCAUCUAGUACACGUACCCCAGUGUCCUGUUAUACUUGUUUGCCAAGCCUGCAUGGUGAUGAUAAACUAGAUUCAGGAUACUAAGUCUGUACUCAUCGUGCUUAAACCUUGUGUACGUGGUGCUGAUUCCACAUGUAAUUUGAAGCUAUAGCUAGCUCUUUAUUUUGUAUAAGACGUUUGAAUCAAGGUGUCGAAUGACACUUUUAGUGCGGGGAUGAUACCGUAUAGCGCGAAAUUUUCGAGGGGCUUAAUUUUCGUGGAUUUCGUGGGUUAGCAAUCCUACACGAAAAUUAAGUCCACGAAAAUCGUUCUUUACCUGCUAUAACGUGCAAGAUUUAAAGGCGUGGCUUCCGGUAAGCAGUCAUUCCGCGAACAUUGUGCAACGAAAAUACUUUUAGAGGCCAAUCCACGAAAUAUAAGUGCCUCGAAAAUUUCGCGCUAUACGGUAUAACAAUUAUAAAGCACUAGCAGUUUAGAUAGUCAAAGUGUUACAGUACCACUGCACAUGAUAUAUACUUCACUGUAAGUGUAGGUGUAUGCACUAAUAUGCAUCAGUUUUUAUGACCUAAUGCAUGCUAAGCUUAACAAACAUGUGGUUCCCCCAGGUAUCCCCCCCAGAAACAUUUGUUAGUUUAGACUCAUGUCGUAUGCACUGUGGUAUAUGAAUCUCGACAAGCGCAUCCUGGACAGGUAAUGAAUAAUGCUGAUCGUGGUUAACGCACACUAUAAAAGCUAGCACAUAUGCAGUACUCAUGCAACAAUAAUCUACAUUGAAAUCAUCCAUUCUACCAGCAAUACCAUGAUGCCUUUAGGUCUACUUUCGUUAAUCUUCCUGGUUGCAGUAUUAUCUUUGAGUUUGGCACAAGAUUGUGAUAACAUCAUAGUCAACAGAAGCGCCAGCCCGAGAGGAGGUAUUAUUAAGAAGUUCCAAGAUCAUGAAACGGUUGGAUUGACACAAGAAUGCCUCAAAAAUAGAGUCCGUGUGGAAAAGAACUCUGUACGCUGCUUUAAAUGGAGAGUAAGGACCAGUAAGCAAGUGCAACUUAAUGAACGACAUGUCUCAAGUCAGAAACUUGUUACGGAAAUCCCCGGUGAUUCUGUGACAUUUCGUUCACCUGGAUUUUACAAUCAUAACACAAAGCAUUACUCAAACAGCAUGUUUUGUCUGUACAACAUAUCUGUGGACAAAUGCAACCACAUUACUGUUGCCUCGAGUAGUGGACACACAUUGUUUAAUGACUCUAGAGACUAUCUUCAACUGUACUUGGGUCACAAGUCCUCCCCCCUGUUUGGAGAGAGUGUGAGUACGUUUGGAGAUGAUGUUCCCACUGGGUCCUUGUAUGCAGUGCUAUGGAGUGACGCUGUAUCUCGCACAAGCAGGGGAACAUUCGAACUAACUGCCACUUGCCAUUCUUGGAAUAAUGAAGAAGAGGGAUCAGGAUCACUUAUCUUAAACACUUCUACCGAUUUUUAGACUGGUACUUUUUUGUCCUGCAUCUCAUCAUCAUUAUUUCAGUUGUAGGUGCACACCAACGUAUUAUAUUUCAGCUUCAUUUCAA